rnacentral:rRNA from 1 species
AUUGAACGCUGGUGGCAGACCUAACACAUGCAAGUCGAACGAGUGGCGGACGGGUGAGUAAUGUCUGGGAAACUGCCUGAUGGAGGGGGAUAACUACUGGACACGGUAGCUAAUACCGCAUACCAUCAGAUGUGCCCAGAUGGGAUUAGCUUGUUGGUGUGGUAACGGCUCACCAAGGCUACGAUCCCUAGCUGGUCUGAGAGGAUGACCAGCAACACUGGAACUGAGACACGGUCCAGACGCCGCCGGGAGGCAGCAGUGGGGAAUAUUGCACAAGGGGCGAAAGCCUGAUGCAGCCAGGCCGCGUGUAUGAAGAAGGCCUUCGGGUUGUAAAGUACUGUCAGCGGGGAGGCGUUACCCGCAGAAGAAGCACCGGCUAACUCCGUGCCAGCAGCCGCGGUAAUUC